rfam:Leclercia adecarboxylata strain I1 Leclercia_S84_R1__paired__contig_6, whole genome shotgun sequence.
GACUGACAUCAGGGAUUCGUUUUGUGAACCGUUACCGACCGCCAGAUAGGAGUGCAUACCCAGCUCUUUCAUCUGCUGCUCGCCAAUCACGCGGGUGACGACAUUUUGGCUGUAGGAGUCCGCCAGCUGGCGCGCCUGGGAGGCGAGGUAACCGGCAUUACAGAUGUUUGGCGGCAUGUUGCCGAGGUCUUUCGC